AGAGGCAGAAGCUUGGGUGAACCAUUUGCUAAGGCCCUGAAAACUACCUUUUUCUCUCACACAAGCAGUUGUUGUAAUCAAAUUGGCUCCAUGCCUAGAGCAGGCUGUGUGACUCAGUGACAGUUGCAAUCAGAGCAUGGAGUUGGAGACAAAGAAGUCAUAGAUCAGGAAAUCACAGUGACGAUGGCCAAUUGGGAUUGGAUGGUUUUAUAUGAGUGGAAUUCUUUUUAAAGAAUUUAAUAUCAUUCAUCAAAGACACAUUUAAUCCUGUUACUUUUGUGUGAGAUUAAAAAAAAUUGUCCUGGUGAUAUUCUGUUCAAUACUACAAUUCUGUAUCAAGGGAAAGCUUCAAGUUAAUAUGUUCAGCAUUUCCAGUGAUCUUGGUUCGAAAACUGAAAAUCACAGAAAGGAAGUGCUGUGGCCAGGUCUACAUGAUACUGUGAAAUAUUUCUUAUCUUGAUUUUGUCCCGGAUAAGAUCCUGGAGCUUGAUAUUUACUGAAUACAUGCUGUUGUGCCAGGCACUAUUGUGGAUGCUUUAAAAAGCAGCAGAGCAGAAGGAAAGAAGCUGAAUCCCUGAUGGCAUCAUGAAACAUUGCCGCAUCUUUAACUGUUUACCUCUGGACUCCAUGAAUCCCCUUCUCUUCAAGCUAAUUUUACUCAGUUGUUUGAUCAUUUUCUGUUAUUUAAAAAGAAAGCUGAAUGAGUUUCUUAUAUACACGAUGCUGUUCUAUUACUGAUCCAAAGCCUAGAAUUGGUCUCCAUCACCCAGGCUGGAGUGCAGUGGCAUGAUUAUGGCUCACUGCAAUUUUGACUUCCCCAGGCUCAGUGAUCCUCCCACCUCCUUCUCCUGGGUAGCUGGAACUAUAGGUGCACACCACCAUGCUGGACUAAUUUUUUAGAGAUGGGUUUUCACCAUGUUGCCCAAGCUGGUCUUGAACUCCUGGGUUUAAGUGAUCCUCCCACCUCAGCAUCCCAAAGUGUUGAGAUUACUGGUGUGAACCACUGUGCUCGGCCUCACAAUAUUUUCUAAUUUGCAUUGUGAUUUCUUCUUUGAUCCAUUGGUUAUUUAGAAAUAUAUUGCCUAAUUUACAAACAGUUUGGAAUAGUCUAGUUACUUUUCAAUUAUUGAUUUAUAGGUUAAUUCCACUGUGGUAAAAAAAAAACCUUACUCUGGGUGAUUAUAUUCUUUAAAGUUUGUUAAAAUUUUUCUUUAUGGCCCAUUAUAAGAUUUAUUUUAGUGAAUGUUCCGUGUGCAUAGUUAAGAAUGCAUAUUCCCAAAUUGUUGCAUAUCACCUUUUAUAUGUAUUAGUUAUGUCAAUUAUUAAUCAUAUUGUUAAAAUCUAUAUAUUUUUUGUUGCCUACUGUCAGUUACUGAGCAAAACAUGUUAUAAUUUUUAGUUACAAUGAAUUUGUCUAUUUUGUUUUAUAUAUUUCAAAACUGUGUUAUUAAAAACAUAAAAAUCCAUGACUU